rnacentral:rRNA from 1 species
AGAGUUGAUCUGGCUCAGGAUGAACGCUAGCGACAGGCUACACAUGCAAGUCGAGGGCAGCGCGGGGAAAGCUUGCUUUCCUGGCGGCGACCGGCGCACGGGUGCGUAACAGGUGUGCAAUCUGUCCUAUACCAGAGCAUAGCCCAGCGAAAGUUGGAUUAAUUCUCUAUGUGAGCCGAGAGGGCAUCCUUUUGGUUUGAAACGUGAGGGUAUAGGGUGAGCACGCUUCUGAUUAGCUAGUUGGUGAGGUAACGGCUCACCAAGGCGACGAUCAGUAGGGGUUCUGAGAGGAAGGUCCCCCACAUUGGAACUGAGACACGGUCCAAACUCCUACGGGAGGCAGCAGUGAGGAAUAUUGGUCAAUGGACGGAAGUCUGAACCAGCCAAGUCGCGUGAAGGAUGAAGGUUCUAUGGAUUGUAAACUUCUUUUGUCUGAGGGUAAAAAAGGCCACGUGUGGCUUCUUGCAAGUAUCAGACGAAUAAGCAUCGGCUAACUCCGUGCCAGCAGCCGCGGUAAUACGGAGGAUGCGAGCGUUAUCCGGAUUUAUUGGGUUUAAAGGGUGCGUAGGUGGUUUGUUAAGUCAGUGGUAAAAGCGUGUGGCUCAACCAUACCAAGCCGUUGAAACUGGCGAACUUGAGUGCAAACGAGGUAGGCGGAAUGUGAUGUGUAGCGGUGAAAUGCUUAGAUAUGUCACAGAACCCCGAUUGCGAAGGCAGCUUACCAGCAUGCAACUGACACUGAGGCACGAAAGCKUGGKUUUCAAACAGGAUUAGAUACCCUGGUAGUCCACGCAGAAGCCCAUCUAGCUGUUGGCGAUAUAUGUCAGCGGUACAGCGAAAGUGUUAAGUWUCCACC